UCCAAUCUCAAACGGCUAUACAACGGUCAUAUAUAUUUGUCGGCAACGGUCACAUGGUUCGUCGGAAAUUCGUCGGAAAAUUCCGACGGAAUACCGACGACUGUACUGUUAAUCGGAAUGUCGUCGGAAGUUCGUCGGUAUAUUCCGACGACUUCAAAUUUUUGGUUUUCGUCGGAAAUUGGUCAGUAAUCCGUCACAAACGUCCGACGACAUUGAGGUCCGUCGGAAUCUCCGUCGGAAUUCGGCGUGUUUUCUUGUAGUGCAUUAAGUAUGAGGUAAGCAGUGAAACUAUAAAGUACUAGUUUAUUUGCAUGUGUAGUAGAUUGAUUUGGUUGUUAACGACUUGUUACAUGGACUUAAGAGCAGUAACCCACUUGCUUACAAGUGGUAUAACCCACUUGGUUCAUCUCUUCUUCUUUGGUGAUGUUUAUAGUGUGUCAAUGCUACUUGUAGCUUCUCCACUCCCAUUUUUAAUGCAAGACGUGGCUCACGUCUCAACUUGACUUGAAAGGAUAAAGGCAAUCUGCAGAAGAUGUCAGAGACAGAUGGAUUCAUUUGAGAAGCAGUUUGUGAACAUGGAGGUCCAAGCUGAGUUCAUGGAGAACGCCAUGGCUGGUUCAACAUCAUUGUCCACUCCCGAAGGCGAUGUCAACCACCUAAUGCAGCAGGUUGGAGUUUUAAUGUUGAUAAAAAGAAAGGGAGAAGGUUACUUGCUUUGGAAUUGAAGUCUUCUCUGGAAGAGUUACGGAAAAAUGUUAUAGAGGAUUUUGGUUUUGAAGAAACAGAUGCUGAUUUGGAGUUGAGUUACCUUCCUAUUAGAUUGAUCAAUUCAUCAAAAUGUCCACCAGUGAUCAUUGGAAACUCAAGGCAAGUUCAAAAUUUUCUAGGGUUUUGUAAGAAGCAUCAGUCAACUCAAUUGUGUGUCAGCUAUAAAGCAAAGCAAGAAAAUCCAAAUAAAAUCGACAUUGAUCUUAAUAAGAUGCCAACUGAUGCAAGUACUUGUGAAGAGAACGAGCGAAAUCCUUGUGACAUUGGGACCGCUUCAAAUAUUGUUAAGGGGGCUAAGCAUAACGAGAAGAGGAAAGGGAAGAUGAAGCAAAGUGAAGUUGAUGGAGAUGAUUAUGAUGCUGACAAGCAUAACGAGAAGAAGAAAGGAAAGAUAAGCAAGACGAGUCCAGACCAGUGACAGCAUGAUACUCUUGCAAUCCAAAACGCAGAGGUCUCCUAGCGAAAGUGAACCACUUCUCAUGUCUCUUGCUUGUCAUCAACUCCUUACACAAGAAAGAGUGUACCAACCUCGCCGAAAACUUCAGAUCAUUCUUCUGGAUAACCAUAAUCUGUGAAAAAAUGGGAUCUUUCAUAACUUCAUCGAAUUCUGGCUCCAUUUUUUCUUUCAGCAACUCGAGAAGUUUUAGUCGGCAGCUGUUAUUAAUCUUCUUAACCUGAGGUUCCAAUC